rnacentral:snRNA from 1 species
GUGCUCACUUUGGCAGCACAUAUACUAAAAUUGGAACUAUACAGAGAAGAUCAGUAUGACCUCUGUGCAAGGAUGACACAAAAAUUUGUAAAGAUUUUCAUAUUUAG